AACGUAGGAGACAAACGUUAUCCGGAGUUACUGGGCGAUAAAGGGCGGUGUAGGUGGUUGCGUAAGUCUGGCGAUUGAAAUUUUUCGGCUUAACCCGGGAAAGGUCGUCGGAUACUGCGUAACUAGAGGACGGUAGAGGCGUGUGGAAUUCCGGGUGUAGUGGUGAAAUGCGUAGAGAUCCGGAGGAACACCAGUGGCGAAGGCGACACGCUGGGCCGUACCUGACACUGAACCGCGACAGCUGGGGAGCAAACAGG
rnacentral:rRNA from 1 species